rfam:Populus trichocarpa scaffold_6_contig_39, whole genome shotgun sequence.
CAUAUUCAAUGUAGACAAAUUCUCUUUUAAUUAUAAUAAAUCUAUAUCUAAAUAUUCAGAAUCACCCGAUACUACAUGCAGGACUCCAUCAAUUUCGUUACCAUAGCCUUUUCUCGUGGGAGCGAAGACAAUUUCACCACUAAGUAAUCUACAAUUUUCUAGUGG